rnacentral:rRNA from 1 species
AAGGAUCAUUAUUGAAUUAUGUUUUCCAGAUGGGUUGUAGCUGGCUCUUCGGUGCAUGUGCACGCCUGUCUGGACUUCAUUUUCAUCCACCUGUGCACCUAUUGUAGUCUUUGUCGGGUUAUUUGAGGAAGUGGUCAGUCUAUCAGCAGUUGCUGGAUAUGAGAACUUGCAGUAUGAAAGCAUUGCUGUCCUCUACUUGGCCAUGGAAUCUUGUUUCCUGUCAGAGGCUAUGUUAUUCAUUAUACCCUAUAGAAUGUCAUUGAAUGUCUCUACAUGGGCUUAUAUGCCUGUGAAAAUUGUAAUACAACUUUCAGCAACGGAUCUCUUGGCUCUCGCAUCGAUGAAGAACGCAGCGAAAUGCGAUAAGUAAUGUGAAUUGCAGAAUUCAGUGAAUCAUCGAAUCUUUGAACGCAUCUUGCGCUCCUUGGUAUUCCGAGGAGCAUGCCUGUUUGAGUGUCAUUAAAUUCUCAACUCUCUUCUACUUUGCUGUAAAAGAGAGCUUGGAUUGUGGAGGGCUUGCCGGCCACUUGUUGAGGUCGGCUCCUCUGAAAUGCAUUAGCGGAACCGGUUUGCGAUCUGCCACAAGUGUGAUAAAUUAUCUACACUGGCGAGGUGAUUGCUCUCUGUUGUUCAGCUUCUAAUCGUCUCAGGACAACUUUUUUUUGAAUGCUUGACCUCAAAUCAGGUAGGACUACCCGCUGAACUUAA